UCUGGUGCCGAUGCGCUUAGGGGGAACACCCGUACCCAUCCCGAACACGAUGGUUAAGACCUAAGCGGCCGAUGGUACUAUGCUGGAGACGGCAUGGGAGAGCAGGUGGGUGCCAGAU
rnacentral:rRNA from 1 species